rnacentral:lncRNA from 1 species
UUUUUGAUAACUGUAAUUAUAUUACCAGAUUUUCAAGACGUACAAAUUUGAAGCUUAGGACAUGGACAUAUUCCCAAGUCUCAAAGCCCAUCAUCCUUGCCUUAACCAGGCUCUUAUGCUAGAAAAUCUACCAAGGAUAGAAAUUUAAAUUCUGCAUUGCAUUAGCCAUUCUAGGAAUCAUGCUACUUCUACAAUGAAUUUCCUGAAUGAUUUGUUUUGUAAUCUCCUCUAUGGUCCUCUCCCUUUGUUGGAAAUUAAAAUUCUGUAAUUCCUCUCUUGCCAAAUGUAGUAAACAGCUGCAGCCAAUGUCAUUAUGUAUACUUCAUCUUGUAUAGUUUUCCUAUUAGCAUGCAGUGUAGUCCAUUCUAGCUCUUCAUUCCACCCUGCACUGCAUCUGUUGAUGGACAACCAAUGAAGUAACCUUUGCCAUAUUACAUGCAAAAAAUAGGUGCUGAUGUGUUUCUGGUUCUGCUUUACACAGUGAGCAAAUUGAGUCAGUGUGAAUCCCCCAUUUGUCUAGCCUGUCUUUUGUGUACAAUCUCCUUAAUAUAGCCAAAUACAGGAUGAAGGUCCAUUUAGGACUGCCUUGGUUAUUGCAAAUCAUUCUUCUCUAUGACACCUUGCUUAGUUCA